rnacentral:rRNA from 1 species
GACGAACGCUGGCGGCGUGCUUAACACAUGCAAGUCGAACGGAAAGGCCCUUCGGGGUACUCGAGUGGCGAACGGGUGAGUAACACGUGGGUGAUCUGCCCUGCACUUUGGGAUAAGCCUGGGAAACUGGGUCUAAUACCGAAUAGGACCACGCGCUUCAUGGUGUGUGGUGGAAAGCUUUUGCGGUGUGGGAUGGGCCCGCGGCCUAUCAGCUUGUUGGUGGGGUAAUGGCCUACCAAGGCGACGACGGGUAGCCGGCCUGAGAGGGUGACCGGCCACACUGGGACUGAGAUACGGCCCAGACUCCUACGGGAGGCAGCAGUGGGGAAUAUUGCACAAUGGGCGCAAGCCUGAUGCAGCGACGCCGCGUGAGGGAUGACGGCCUUCGGGUUGUAAACCUCUUUCAAUAGGGACGAAGCGCAAGUGACGGUACCUAUAGAAGAAGCACCGGCCAACUACGUGCCAGCAGCCGCGGUAAUAUGUAGGGUGCGAGCGUUGUCCGGAAUUACUGGGCGUAAAGAGCUCGUAGGUGGUUUGUCGCGUUGUUCGUGAAAACUCACAGCUUAACUGUGGGCGUGCGGGCGAUACGGGCAGACUAGAGUACUGCAGGGGAGACUGGAAUUCCUGGUGUAGCGGUGGAAUGCGCAGAUAUCAGGAGGAACACCGGUGGCGAAGGCGGGUCUCUGGGCAGUAACUGACGCUGAGGAGCGAAAGCGUGGGGAGCGAACAGGAUUAGAUACCCUGGUAGUCCACGCCGUAAACGGUGGGUACUAGGUGUGGGUUCCUUCCUUGGGAUCCGUGCCGUAGCUAACGCAUUAAGUACCCCGCCUGGGGAGUACGGCCGCAAGGCUAAAACUCAAAGGAAUUGACGGGGGCCCGCACAAGCGGCGGAGCAUGUGGAUUAAUUCGAUGCAACGCGAAGAACCUUACCUGGGUUUGACAUGCACAGGACGCCGGCAGAGAUGUCGGUUCCCUUGUGGCCUGUGUGCAGGUGGUGCAUGGCUGUCGUCAGCUCGUGUCGUGAGAUGUUGGGUUAAGUCCCGCAACGAGCGCAACCCUUGUCCUAUGUUGCCAGCGGGUUAUGCCGGGGACUCGUAGGAGACUGCCGGGGUCAACUCGGAGGAAGGUGGGGAUGACGUCAAGUCAUCAUGCCCCUUAUGUCCAGGGCUUCACACAUGCUACAAUGGCCGGUACAAAGGGCUGCGAUGCCGUGAGGUGGAGCGAAUCCUUUCAAAGCCGGUCUCAGUUCGGAUCGGGGUCUGCAACUCGACCCCGUGAAGUCGGAGUCGCUAGUAAUCGCAGAUCAGCAACGCUGCGGUGAAUACGUUCCCGGGCCU